rnacentral:lncRNA from 1 species
GAAAGAUCUCACUUGCUCCGGGGUGUGUAUGCAAAGGGACAACCGCACCGGGUGCCAUGUCUACACGAGCCAUUGAAAGGCCAAGGCCAUUCAAAGCAGGAACCUCAUUGUAGGACGCUAGAGUAAUUGCAUCUCUGGUAAUGGUUGAGGUAUUACCGGCAACGCCUAGGCUCGAGUAUACGAAAUCAUCUACCGUAACAUUUUCAGGCCUUUUGCAGGAGUAGCCUGCAGGACUAGAAGGAGCUGUGUAGUCUGCAACGCAAAAGUCUUGCACAGCAGCAUAGGAGGUGGAGAGAAUGAAAGAAAACAUAAAGAUGAAGAAAACUGCCAUCUAGCUUUGAUCAACUGUCUGGCUAGUUUUCGAUGUGAUUUGGUGAGGAACUUGGGGGUCAUAUAUAUAUAGUGGGGAUUCACGGUAUAACAAUGUAGGAUUCACGUUUAACUUAAUUCAUUAUAAUUUAAUGUUAGGUAAACUAGACUUUUUACGUACAAAAAUGAUCGAUAUUUCAUGAACGUUAGGUAAGUUAUUUUCAAUGUAUACUCGACAGAUAGGUACUCGUUGAGAAAAUUAAGAAAUGCAUUUGGACCAUACGUAUUUGUAUAUCAGUAUAUGUAUAGCUAGCUAGGGUCGAUGAACUUCAAACUUGAUUAGGAUCAACCACUACCUUGGCUUACUGCUGUACGUUAAAAACUUAAAAUUAUAGUGUUACAUGCUUGUCUUCUCCUAGUUUACCCUCCAAUGUUAGGUAAACUGUAUUUUUUCCUUCUCCAUCAAAAUAAGAAAUGAAAAAUAAGGGACAUGGAUGAAGAAAGGAGCAAAAAAUAGCUUCUUCCUGUUUCUGAAACUCCAGGAACAACAAUAAGAAAUGCACCCGUCCUUUAAUUAUAUCACUGCUGCAAAUCAGUUUCGUCUCUUUCGUGAAGGUAAAUCCAACCCUAGCUAUUGAUGAAACAUCACUUUUUUGGCCAAUACCUAAAUUGGUGUUGAAGAAGAUUGAAAAGGGGUUAGGUUUACUCAAAUCAUAUUCAGCUUCAAUCCCUUUGAGUCCCUCUCCUGCGCCAGCUUCAGUCUCCACUGCAUCGCUCCCCAACGAGCUAGCUCGACGGCCUCAAGUCCUAUACGGCUACCGGCCGCUCAACACCCUCAGCUAGACCUCCAAAGCCUCACUCCUGCAUCAUUUGCAUGAUUAGGUUGGAGCCUGAGAACGAAAGUAAUUAAGAUCGUAUUAUAGGAAUCAAAGAAGUCAGCAAGGUACAUUGUUUGCUGCAAGAUUUUGUUAUAAACCUUAUCUUUGAACUUUCUUUUGAAAUGUGAAAACUACGUAGGACAUGAAUACAAAACUCCUUAAAAGAAGAAACAAAAAAAUAAAAAAACAAAAAGUGGUUUGAGAGACUUUAAUUUGAGCUUAGACUUUCCUCACCAAAUGGAGAGACGUUCACGACGAGAAUGACGACGACAUUAGUACGACAAUCGUUUAUGUGCAAAGAUACCUAAAAGAUAGAGAAGCAUUUUAUUCGGAGAUUAUCAAUCUCCUAGGUAUUUAACUAUUUAUAUAAAUUAUCAGUUGAAAAUAGAACUCGACUAGAAUUAGGAUUUAUAAUAAUCCAUACUAAUCCCAGAUUACUAGUUCAGCUAAUAAUCAAACCCAAGUCCCCAACUUGGUUGGAUAAACUUAAAUUCUUCGAUAACAAACACUUAUAUUAUUUCUAUUCAUAAAGAAAAAAAAACAUUUAUAUUAUUCCAGUAGGCAUACAGCUAAGAGAAGCAUAUCAUAAUAUCAUCAUUUUUGGUCCCAUGCACAUUAAAAUUCCCAACUCAGAUGCUGAAUCUGGUUCUUUAUCUCUAUCCUUGACUGAUUGGGAGCUUCUCUUCAUCAUAUCUCUUUUCUAUUCUAUCAAUCUAAGCUAACACAUAUUCCCCAUCAUAUUGUAUAAAUUAUUUUGCUAAUUAGAUUAUAUAUAUAUAUGGGUUUUCUCUGCUACGGACGUCUGUACGAGUUUUCCGUACGGAUUUCCGUCGUUUCUCCACCAUUUCAGCACCGGCGACGCCGUUUCUUCUCCCCGGCGUGAUCCUAUAUCUCCCCCGACAGUGUUGGAAUGAAGAAGAAGGCCGGAGACAUCGCGAUCGGAGGUCCACCAUGAUCGGUCGUGAAGUUCUGAGUGAGAUUGCUGCACAGACCUCCGAUCGAUCUCUCCGGCAUUCUUCUUCAUUCCAACACCGUCGAGGGAGGUCUGGGAUCACGCCGGGGAGAAGAAACAGUGUCGCCGGCGCUGGAAUGGUGGAGAAACGGCGGAAAUCCGUACAGAAAACCCAUACUAUAUAUAUUGUAAUACCAUGUACUUAAUAUGAAUAAUAAUAAUAAUAAUAAUAAUAAUAAUAAUAAUAAUAAUAAUAAUAACAACGUGUUUACUUUACUAAAUAAAUCAUAGUAAAGCUGAUGUUUUAUCGCAAAAACAUUUAAUAUGUAUAGGCCUACACUGUCUCUCACGUUUAGAUGGGCUUUGAAGCCCAAACCGGUUAUAAGGCCCACAAUUACUCACUGGGCCAUAUUAAAAAGAAUAAGAUAUUUUUUUGGGAGAAAGAUCGAGAAAGAGGGAGACGUGGACUUACACCGACUUAGAAGGAUCGAGAAGGGUAUAGAGCUCUCUAGAUGGAGCUCUCGAGGAGAUAUAGAGAGAAGGUCACCAACUCUCCUCCUUCGGAGGACUCCCGGGACUUUCUUGGGCUUGUAUUAGUGGAGGGGAGGGGAGGGAGAGAGAGGAAGAGCUCUCUAAUAGCGAAAGGGCACAGAUACGUCUCUCUUUCUCAUUCAAUCAACUCUCUCACUUUCACUCUCCCUCUCUCUGUCGGAUUACGGUGAUAACACCGAUCGUGUGAAGAAUGAAAGGGAAGAGAUCCGGUCACUAGCUGUGGGAUAUCGAACUGAAAAGGAAGAUGAUUUCUUGAUCGGGCCUCUGACGAUGAGGUAUCACUCAACAAUUUGAUGUUUAUGUAGCGAUUGAUUUCUUCGGAGGAACACCCAGGUAAUGAUUCAAUGGUAAGAGUGAAUCCAAUUUUAUUUUUAUCAAAGUGCAGCAAAUUUGAUAAUGAAAUGGUAUAGAAUCAAUUACCAUACAUGCUUGUAGAUUCAGAUUAGCUCUCUAAUACCCACCUUAGGUUUGGUAUAAUAUGAGGUCAGGGUGUUACAUAUAUAUACAGCCCGUUUCAGAUACGGACGUCCGCACCGCCUUACGGUGCGGAUUUCCCUCCGUUCGCCACCGUACGGCGAGGGCACGACUGACAGGACCCACUCCGAAUUUCACCCUGAAACCCAAGGUAAAUCCUGCGGGGUCCAUCUUCAAGGAAAAUUUACCGAAAAUUGGGCAUAACCUUCCUUGAAAAUGGACAACCCUUACCUGAAAAAUCCAACUUAACACUUCUAUAAUCAAACAAACCAACCUCAACACCUGGAGCCUUCCUGCUCCUCAAGAUCAACACAUCUCUCAAUAUAACAAUUACUCAACUCUAAUAAUCUCACAACCAAUAAUAAGGACUAUGAAUAAUUUACUAUUGGACUUUCAGAGCAUAUAUAAAGUUGAACGAAAAACAACGAAUAAAAAAUAUGCGGAAGCAGCCUCUGACUAUGCCUCAACUCCAUGUACGCUCGACCUCCUUUAAAACUUAGCCUGCACACUGGGCAUUUGAAACCGAAGGGCCCAGGGAAAAGUAAUAUAAAAACGUUAGAGUGAGUGGACGAAAAAUUAAACAAAUAACUGAUCGCAACAUAACUAACCAAACUUAAUUACUUUUCCAUUUUCCAAUAAUCAAUAAAUCUGUUGCAUGCAAGUGUUGGUAAAACCUUCAUAAAGAAAAUCUCAAAGAAACGGACUAGCCCUGCUAGUCAAAAUAUUGACAAAGAUAAAUACUAACCUUCAUUGAAGAAAAUACCAAAACAAUGGACUAGCCCCGCUAGUCAAAACAACAAUAAAUAAUAAACCGAUUUAACCAUACAAGUGAGCCUCCCAGACACGGUUGCCUCCCAUGCAAAAUACUCCCAUACUCCCUAAACUUUCAUGUCAUGAUAACAGAGAAGGUGCAGGGCUUGCGUGAUGUCGUCGACUACAUCACAUCACCCGAAAAAACGUGGAAGCUACAUCGCCUCGAAAGGCGGAACAACAUGCUAGCAUGAAUAAUAACGAUCCAACAAGUAUUGCAUAAAUAAAGAAACAUAAAUCCAUGUGAGUUUCCCCGAAACUCAUAACUUAAACAUAAGUACGAUUCCUAACCGUACUCAAAGAAUUCAAAGAGUAAAGAAAAUAAUUAAAUUCAAUGACAUGUCCCACACGUUAAAAUGCUCAAUGAAAUAAUUAAUUUAAAUAAUUUUCACCUUUCGAAAACCCGGCAAUAUGCAAAUCUGGAUAUAAUCUCAAAUCCGGAAAUCAUAAAGAAAAUCCAAACUCAAAUCUCAAAUUAUCAAUCCGAGCUCAAAUCCGUAAAUUAUGACCAACAUUUAAUCCAUGCAUCAAUCUCAAAUAAUUUCCAAGAUCAUUUCAUAUGCCGAAGUUAUAAUAUAUGCUCCGAAAAUAAAAUACUAAUUUAUAAAAUCUUGCAUGCAUAUUAAUUAAAAACCAAAAUGUCCACUCACAGAUUUAGGCCUAAGCCUGACGAAUUCUGAAUCACUACUCAAGCGUGGUCUCCUCGAAUCCUGGCACAACAACCAUGCUUAGGACCAAACUUCAAUUCCAGAAAAUAAUUACGUGAAUAAAAAUAUCUAACUCUCUUCCGUUUAACCCACUACUCUUAUUAUGGUUAAACUCACCGGAUUCACAUCAAACUCCACCACAACCUCAAAUCAUCAAUUCUAACAUUCCAAGCUAAAUACCAAGGAAAUUCAACGGCCGGAUUUUCAUUUUAAUAACCGACAAAAUCGUUAAUCUUUUAAAAAUCCCAAACCUUAUCAAAACUCCUCCAAAAAUUCCAAACUAUAUUUCAUUAAACUCCUCUCAUUAUAAAAAACCCAAAAACCUGAAAAUCAACCUCCAAGUGGCAGCGCCGCCGCCUGCUCCGCGGGCAGCGGCGACCAGAAACCGUACUUCGACGGUGACCAAUGCCUCCCAAAUUUUAACAGAAUAAUCCUUUCAUCACGCACAACAACUUUCAUAACUAGCACUUAGUCCAAUUCUAAGCCUAACUAGGGUAAUCGAAUCAAAACAUCUAAAAAUCCCCCAAUUCAAACCCUAGCCCGAAAAUCCUCCUAUACACUUCGAAUUGGAUCAUUACCUUCUAGGGAAAUGUUACACACGGAGAGCACUUCCCAAUGGAACUGAAAUCACUGGAAAUGGUGGCCGGAGGAGCGAGUUCCGGCGUCGGGACUCCACCACGCAGCCAGAGCUUCCGGGUGAGAGCUCUCUCUCACGAUGGCGCUAGGGCAGCUCUCACCGGUUCAGGAAGAAGGCUGGGUCGACGGCCGACCGUUUGGGACCGGUGCGCUGGUCUAUGGUGGCCGGACAGCGGCGGUCGGAGCCGAGGAAUCCGACGGGUUGGGGUAGGCGAGAGAGAGAGAGAGAGAGAGAGAGAGAGAGAGAGAGAGAGAGAGAGAGAGAGAGAGAGAGAGAGAGAGUAGAGAGAGAGAGAGAGAGAGAGAGAGAGAGAGAGNNNNNNNNNNNNNNNNNNNNUGACCCGGUCCACCAUUUAAAAUCCCACUCUAACAAUAAAACACCUCCAAAAAUAAUACCUACUAAAACAAUUAACCUCUCUUUACCAAACAAAGUCUACUCUUUUUAUCUAAUAACUUUUUCAUGCUAACUCCGAUUUUAACGUUUAGCAUGUCUACGAACUCGUAUUAACGUCCUCUACAACUUUCAUGAAGAAAGUUUUCCCAAAUUCCAAACGAAAGAAAAAGUCAACUUUUAGAGUCUUAAAUAGUAAACGGUUACUUAAAACAGUAAAAGAUCAAAGUAACCAAAAAGUAAAUAACCGCAAAUUGACUUAAGAACCGGGAUGUGACAGCGCCUCCACCCCAGCGGACUCCAGCAGCUUCCCGGACCUCUUUCCAUCCCCGGCGAGUCCGCCGAAUUCCAGCUUUCCGGCCAGAUUGACUUUGUUGGAAGUUUUGGGUGAUCUUGCCGGAAAACUGGAAUUCGGCGGACUCGCCGGAGAUGGAAAGAGGUCGGGAAAGCUACUAGAGUCCGCUAGGGUGGAGGUGCGCCCUCGCCGGUGCUCGCCGGUGCUGUACGAUGGCGAAAUGAGGGACAUCCGCACCUGAUAACGUAUGUAUAUAUACAGGAAUUCUCAGGUGCGGAUGUCCGCACCAAAACUUUGGUGCGGAUGUCCAUUUUUGCACCACUUUUCGAUCGAAUUUUCUCAUCUCUACCGUCUAGUAUCUAGAUAAUAUUGUGUAGAUCAUCUCUACAAAAUUUUAGCCAAUUUGGUGAUCGUUAAGGCCCUCAAACUCGAAAAACAAAUGGACGGACUGAAUUCUGUCCGGUUGUGUUCAUACCAGAAAAACUCGAGUUUGAGGGCCUUAACGAUCACCAAAUUGGCUGAAAUUUUGCAGAGAUAAUCUACACAAUAUUAUCUAGAUACUAGACGGUGGAGAUGAGGAAAUUUGAUCGGAAAGUGGUGCAAAAAUAGAAAUUCGCAUCGAAACCUUCGGUGCGGACGUCCACAGCCAAGAAGAGCUAUAUAUAUAUAUAUAGUCAUGGAUUAGAAUGUACUAAAAUGGUUUACAAAGUUUCUUUUACUAUUACUUCAAAAUUAGAGUACGUAAUACAAUGGGUUAGGGUUUGUAUCGGUGUCAUUUUGGCCACGACUAUUAAUACAAUGGGUUACAAUGUCCGCCUUUGCUUAAAAAAAAAAAAAACCUUUGAAAUUAGAGUACGUGUAUAGCUCAUAAAGUGUGAACUUCAACAACUAAUCGAGCUCUAACAUUAAUCGUAUUUCUUUCAAACGAAAGAGCUCUAGUCACCUCAUAGUACUGGAUUGCAAUUCUUUGGCUAGAUUAUUAAGCAUCAAUGUACAUGGCACGUCACUAGUAUAUAGAAUAACUUUGUCACAUAUUUUGUAAAUACCAUGUAAUUGUCUCAUUUCAAAAUCUAUAUUGUCACGUUGUAAUAAUGUCGAUUUUUUCUUCAUUCGCGCACAAAUGUAAUAUUCUCUUUUAGUAGUUUCUCUUAUCCGAAUUAAUUUUGACUUCUACGUCUCAUUAGAUAACUUUAUGUCAUGAUCCGAACAGUUCNNNNNNNNNNNNNNNNNNNNGAGAGAGAGAGAGUCUCAUUGUAAAUAUAGAUAAAUAUACAUAUAUAAAUGUGUACCUCUGUAUAAUUCCUUGGUUUUUCAAGAAUUUUAGUCCUGUAUUAUCGCCUGGGGUUCUGCAGAGAGGCAGAGAGAAACACCAUGAGUCUCUUUGGUCUUAGAAGCAGGUAGGUACUUGCUAUGAUAAUUAAUGAGUUCAAAGUUUGGAAAAUCUGAUUCUGGUUUUUCAUUUCAUGCAAUAUAUUCUCAAGAAUGGAUGAUUAGACCAGAACGCGUAUGGGUUCUGAUGACUACCUACAUAUGCCUAUUUAUAAUCCCUUUGGCUUUAGAAUGAUAACUCGGAUUCCCUAUCUUGCGAGGAUAUGGUUUUGCUUAGUUAUGGACUCCUUUUUUGAUAAGGAAAUUGAAAGUAAAGUAGUUAUUUACUGGUUUCGAGUAAGGAUUGAAAUUCACACUGGUGAGAAACUAAUUCCGGUUGGACUUAGGAGACAGUAGAAAGAAAUUGAUGAUCUUUGAUGAGUAAUUUAAUGUUGAAGGCACACAUUAUCACAAGUUCAAUUUUAAUAUUUUCAUGUCAUCAAAUAUAUGCAUAUAUAUUUCAAAUGUUACGAGUGGAGACUCGCAUAUAGCACCAACAGUGGAGGGAGAAUGAUCAUUUUGGCGCUAGAUGUUUUCAACUAGACCCUCCAAUAUCUCCUACCAGCUUCUACAUCAUUGCUCACCAAAAGUUGCUUCAAUGUAUGGCUGUAUGCUGCAUAUUUUGGCGGUAGAGUUGAAUUUGAAUAUUCAAAUCUAGAGGCAAUGAGCUAGGCGGUUGGGCCACGUGGCUAGGCGGAAAGGCUUUACGGCCGCAUUUCCAUAGAAAUGACGGUUUCACUUAAACGCACCGUUUUGCACCCAAUUAACGAUAAUCAGCCUACUGGAACACGCGCACUAUGCACUCUAUACUGGAAGCUCACGCGCAUCGCAUGACGGGGAUAGUUGCCAGAGAAGCUGAGGCGGCAGCGACGGUGGUAUCGAGACAGCGAUGAAAGUCAUAGGACAUGAGGCGGGAUGUGUAAACCACCUGCUCCUCUCCUUUUAAUCAUUCUGUUAUGGAAAGAUUUCCACAGCAAGUAACCGUGAGAUGGACUGGCCUGGAGGGACUGGCCUGGAGCCAAAAAUUAAAAGACCCAGAUUUAGAAUAGAUCAAAUGAACGUAAUAAUAGAACUUCCCCAGAAAAAUGACUUAAUCGGUUUCGAAGUCAACCUUCGUAUAUCAGAAUUUGCUGGCUGCUGCGUUUCAUGCUAUAAAACAAAAGCAUAAAUACAAUUCAAUUAGAAGAGAAUGAAAAGGAGGGAGAUAUGAAGGUUUACAUGAGCAAAUUUAUACUGAAAAAACAAAACGGAAGAUGAUUGGAAGAUGAACCAACCAACCUGAAUCUUCAGCCUUCCUUGAAGCCCUAAUGCAAUCGUGCAACCCUGUUUUUUUCAUAAGUCCACCUGUUUAUUUCCUGCAAAUGAGAAGUGACCUAUUACACUCCAUUUCAUUCCGAGCAAGAACUACCAUAAAAUCAAAUGAAGCCUGGCCAGUGUUAUACAAUGAACUAACUCUUCAAUUUCAGGCCUAAUAUAUGUCAAUAUAGGUGGUUGAUAUUAAAACUCAAAUAAAACAUCUUCCAUUAAUCAAAAACUGAGUUUGAGUUGAAGUUAUUAUUGUUGUCAAAGUAAUGAAGAUCACACAGAUACUUCAUUAGCUUUACUGUUUGAAUAUGAUGAAACAAAAUAUCUGCGAUAUUUUGCAUAUUCGAAUAUUUGGCUUAGUGUGAUGGAAGAUCUAUACCGAUGGACACUGGCCUUCCAAUUUUGAUUUUAUACAUCACUGUGAUGUACUCUCCCAAUGUCACCAUGAUCAUAUCCAAAAACAUAAAUGCAAACUUUCAAAGUCUGUAAUUGAAAGGUUUUGUGACAAUACGAAAUAAUGGAGAAUCACCUUAUAGCUCUAUAACACCAGUUUCUCGAGCUUUUACACAGACAUCAAUCAUCUCAUUUUACUUUAUAAUAAAAAUAUUCCAGUUUCAGUAAUUAAAUAUCAGUUUUUCUAUCCUUCUCUGCUAACCAAAACCACCAAAACACAGUUGAACUAAAGAAAACAAUUACUAAUAGAAUCAAACCCCAAUAGUGAAACAUAGCUGCAAAACUAAAAAGAAAAGAGUAGUAAAAAGACAUACCCUUGAAUCAUGUAGAAGGAAAAGAACACAGAGCUUCAAAACAGUAACCGACUCCCAGGGGCUUUGAUUGGAACCUACAAAAACAGAAAAAUAUUGAUAAGAUUCGAUGUAAAAUCCAACUAACACCUUAAUAAAAUUGAUAUUAUACUAACAGCUUGUUCAAUCCAUCACAACUAUAUUCUAAUACUUUUGAAAAGGCUCCUUUCAAUUUCCUUUACUAUUUUCACAAUGACAGGAUCAAUUUCUUCCUACAUGUACCUGUCUACCUUCAUGCAUCAGUUGACUCGAUCAAUACUCCUACUACUAAGCUAGCUAGUUGGUUAGUUAUCCACAAAGUACAGAUAUAAUCACACCAGAUUCAUGACCUAAAAGUUUUGGUGCCUCAUAUCUCAGAUUGAGUUCGUACUGUGUCCUUUCGAAGUUUUUAUUUUUUGUCUUCUUCUCUUAAUAUUUUCAUUUUCCUUAACUUAUAUAACUACUAUACUGUUAUGAUUUUGUCAUGCCUUACACCUGAUUAGUAUGGAUUAAUGAUAUAACACUAAGCAAUGACAUCAUGACUGAAAAGGAAAGGUGCAUACUUCCAUACGUCUUUCUACAGAGCCAAUCAAACCAAAACUUAGAUUAUCACCUCCUAUGUAACUUAGCAACAUGCGAACAUGAUUUCAAAUAAAUCAACCGAUAAGAUACAUGUAUUUAGAUCCUCACAUUAACACUGAAGUUUGGUUGGUAUACAUAAAGCCCUCUACUGGUUGCAAUGGUUACCUGUGCAAGAAAUAGACAUCAGACAACAUGAUAAGCUAAGUUCACUUUUAUGUCUUACUACUCUAGACGGAACUUAGGAAUUUCCAUCAAUACUCUACUGUAAAUGAAAAUUGAAAGCCAUUACUAAACCAUAUUUACAGAAAAAUGAGUAAUGAAAAGUAUCCAUUAUUAGUUAUUCACAGAAAGAUGAGUAAUGAAAAGUAUCUAUUAUUAGUUCUACUUCUACCAAUCGAAGUAUAGAUCCAGAGUAUCCAAAACUCAAAAACUUUUUAAUUGAUUAAAUUUUUUUCUUAUAACAGAUAUGUAGAUGAUGGUGAUAUUGCAGUUAGUGCAACACCUUAAAUAUUAAGUUUUUAUCUGAAUCUCUCUACAGGGAAGAUCCAUACUUCUACAACAUCCCUUCAUAAAGCCACUCAAAUAUCUCCAACCACAAUAAGCAUCACAUUUCUUUCCUUCAAAUAAAAAACUAAACAACUUCAAUACCGCUCAAACCAGAAAUUUGUACACAAAUUUCAUUUGACAACUUUUAAUUGAAUCAGCUCUUAUGCUUUUUUCUUUCUCUUAAUGCUUUUAACUAAGAGCAAAAUAGAUUCUAAAGAGCAAAAUAAUUUUGGAUCUGUGACUGAGUAUUGGUUGAACAUGGUGUUCCUCUAAUUGUUUGAUCUCUUAUGUGUAAUUUUUUGUGUUGUUUCUACUGCUGUGGAGUUUUUAACAAUUCAACCAAAUCAAAAGGUUACCUGGAGCUCAAUCCCUCCAAUAUGACAAUCCACUCCCCAUCCCCAUAUUAACCCAAUCUAUGAUAAGCAAAUCCAAUUCCUUCCCACACUUAUCCGAUUCUUAAAGAAAAGAAAAGAAAACCCAAAGCAAUUGAAAAUAUCAAUACGAAUCUAUAAUCAAACAAUCGAUUACGCAGAGCGGAAGAAGUACCUAUUUUGGUGUAGAGAAAGCUCCCCCUCGUGAGAACAGCAAUCGAUCGAUCAGCCAACUGUAGUCUCUCCCUCUCUCUGAAAUUAUUUGAAGCCCUAAAACUAAUCAAACACAAAACUCAGAGAAAGUGAUCCUCACCCUACUAAUCGCAGUUAUAUCACGCAGAGGGGUUCUUGGGUACCAAGAAGGCAACACACUGUUCAAUCUAGGCUGGAAAGAGAGGGAAGAUCGAUGAAGGAAGCGACGAAAGAGAUCGAGAGAGAGGAAGAAAAGGAAAACGGCGAGAUGGGAUGGAGGCCCAAGCCCAAUUAUAAAAAAACAGUAAGGCGGCGCGAGGCCGCAUAAUAUUUAGUUCAAUAGUACCACUGAGAGUUCAGACCUUCUCCAUCACACCAUGACAACAAAGGUAAGUUAAGUAAAUUAAGGUACAUCGAUGACAAAAGGAAUUAGAGCUGGACGAGCAAUCCUUAGUCACCUUCUUAUUCGAUAAUCGAUACUGAUCUCGUGAGGAGAUCGAUGCCUUAUUAGUUAGUGCCACCAAAGACAGCCUUCAAUCUCCUUGUCUCAUGAGUGCUGAUGAAAGUAGUGCGAUUUAUAAAUUCAGUAGACAAUGUGCUAUUAAAUAGUGAAUUGUCCACCGUCUGAAUAUGCAGACUUUCACUACUGUAGCUAGCAAAUGCAACGACUGGAUUAUAUUUAGCACCUCCAAUAUUCACAAAGCCAUGCAAUAACGCAUUAGGGAUGACAAACAGAUCACCACUCUUGAUAACUGUCUGAUAAACUGUGUUUGUAUCCGACGAAAUGAACGCGGCAAUCAGUUUCCCUUUCACAAGAAGAAAGAUCUCAUUUGAUCCGGGGUGUUUAUGCAAAGGGACAACCCCACCGGGUGCCAAGUCUAUACGAGCCAUUGAAAGGCCAAGGCCGUUCAAAGAAGGAACCUCAUUGUAGGACGCUACGGUAAUUGUACCUCUGAAAAUGUUUGAGGUAUUACCGGCAACGCCUAGGCCCGAGUAUACGAAAUCAUCUACCGUAACAUUUUCAGGCCUUUUGCAGGAGUAGCCUGAUGGAUUAGAAGGAGCUGUGUAGUCUGCAACGCAAAAGUCUUGCACAGCAGCAUAGGAGGUGGAGAGAAUGAAAGAAAACAUAAAGAUGAAGAAAACUGCCAUCUAGCUUUGAUCAACUGUCUGGCUAGUUUUCGA